AGAGACAGCAGUCGCCACGGGAAUACAGAGGGUGCGAGCGUUAAUCGGAUUUACUGGGCGUAAAGCGUGCGUAGGCGGCUUUUUAAGUCGGAUGUGAAAUCCCUGAGCUUAACUUAGGAAUUGCAUUCGAUACUGGGAAGCUAGAGUAUGGGAGAGGAUGGUAGAAUUCCAGGUGUAGCGGUGAAAUGCGUAGAGAUCUGGAGGAAUACCGAUGGCGAAGGCAGCCAUCUGGCCUAAUACUGACGCUGAGGUACGAAAGCAUGGGGAGCAAACAGGAUUAGAUACCCCUGUAGUCCCUGUCUCUUAUAC
rnacentral:rRNA from 1 species